UCGGAUUGUAGUCUGCAACUCGACUGCAUGAAGCUGGAAUCGCUAGUAAUCGCGGAUCAGAAUGCCGCGGUGAAUACGUUCCCGGGUCUUGUACACACCGCCCGUCACACCAUGGGAGUCGGGAAUGCCCGAAGUCAGUGACCCAACCGAAAGGGGGAGCUGCCGAAGGCAGGCCUGGUAACUGGGGUGAAGUCGUAACAAGGUAAC
rnacentral:rRNA from 1 species